ensembl:lncRNA
AAGAUGGAUUGCAGAGGAUGUGGACGGGUCGAACGGGGCACCUGUGAAACCAAAAGAGAGUCCUUCAGCACUCCGUUUCAAUUAGCAGCAGGCUAAUGGAUGUUGACACUGAAUCUACCCCCACUUUCAAAUCCGGGGGAAGCCGACUCCUUCAGACGAGCGGCACCACCUCGUCCGCGGCCGGGGCCAGAUGCUUUUGAGAUUCAGCGUGACAGCGCUGAAACCAGAUGGCCUGUGGAGUCUGACCCUCAUCCCAGGAAGUACGAGGCGAUGGUUAGAGGCUCGAAGUCGUGACGCAACUGGCAAAGACCUGUUCAGAUUCCAAGCAGGCGGCACAGCGGGCGCAGCCUGACCCAACGGACUGACUUUAUUGCCUCCCCAAUUACCUGCAUGGUGCUGGAAGUGCAAUCGGACAGUUAGUCCUUGAUUGAGCUUCAGUAUUGUCUCAACUGGUCCAAUCCAGUCGGAUAAAGCAGAGAAAAGGGUUGUACACAGCACUAAGGAGGCAUACAAAUGUACGUUUCUUUUUUUAGUUAAAAAAAUGUCAGAUUAAAGUCUACAUUAAUGUUUUGCCUGACACCAAUGUGGGUCCUCUUUUCUGGAAUGUUUUUGCUGCCAUUUAGCAGCCAAAUCAAAUAGUUGAAAUCAACACUUUGUUUGUUCAUAAUGCAUUUGAUACUAGUAAGUAAUCCAGGUCAAUGAGAUAUGAUUUCACAUGGAAUAACAACCCAUUUUCAUUUUUAGGGACAGUUAUGGCUGGUUGCCUGUUAGUCGUUGGCCUUUAGAUUCUCCACAGUUCAUUUUGUCUUUACGCCCUCUGGCGUUUCUGAGAAUAAGGCAUUGAGCAAUAACUCCUCGUUGCACGCUCUGCAGGAAGAUAACAAAGUUUAACGCCGAUGUCAAGCUGCUCUCACCGGGGUCGACUUUAAAUGAUUUUAUAUUAAUCCCUCACCAACAUUUCCCCGAAUUAAAGGUUAAAUAUUAACAAACCAUCAAUAAUAACCGUACUGAACUUUCUAAUUAUAGCCGCUAAUAUUUGCACUGACGACUGCACUUUGUUGUGUGAUUUACGUAAACAAAUGCAAAUUGAUUUACUUAACAAGGCGAUCUCUAUAGCGUGAACUUCACAGGGAAUCUAAAGGCUGUUUGAAUUCUGACAUCCUGCUUUGCACGAGGCAACGUGUGUAAUUCUCACCCACACACACUGCAGUUUGCAUAUCCUGCUAUUGAGGCGUCAGAUUAACAUAAUGUAUUACAUAAUAAAAUACUAAUAUAACAAUGCAUGUCCUGUCCUUAGUUACCGACUAACAGUAACUUAAACUAGGGGUGAAGUUGUGGGCAUUUGCCAGGCUGUGGGGUCUAAUGAAAGAUGUUAUCAAGCCAUAUCAUUGUGGUGAGGUCGGUAAGUGUUUGAGAGGUACUAGGGACUUCUCAAUGUAUUUAUUCAUUUAAUUAGAAUUUUGAAAUGUGAAAGAUGCUAUCUCGUUCCGUUAUAGGAGGUCUAAGAGGUUUUUAGUCGUGACCUACACAGACUGAAAGUCUGGAUGGCUCAAACCAUUUUGGUAGAAAAUCUCCGACUUGAGCCUGAAACCAUUAUUUAAACCUCAAGUUAGUCUUUUGAAGAAGGACCAGACAAAAAGUCACAACAUUACAAAUGUCUUCACACUUGGAAGUGGUCCUCCGAAAGAUAAUAGUACAAGAGUACACACACACACUUUCACUGUAAGUGAAACAAGGCUUCGCACGUCACACUUUCGGGCAGCAGUUAUAUUUUUAAAUGUGGAUUUGAAGCUGCGCUCUACUUUUAUUAAUAAUACAUCUACAGC